rnacentral:rRNA from 1 species
UACAUAGGGAGCAAGCGUUAUCCGGAUUUAUUGGGUGUAAAGGGUGCGUAGACGGGAAAUUAAGUUAGUUGUGAAAUCCCUCGGCUUAACUGAGGAACUGCAACUAAAACUGAUUUUCUUGAGUACUGGAGAGGAAAGUGGAAUUCCUAGUGUAGCGGUGAAAUGCGUAGAUAUCGCGCAGAACUCCGAUUGCGAAGGCAGCAUGCCGGCUCCACACUGACGCUGAGGCACGAAAGCGUGGGUAUCGAACAGG